UCGGAUUGCAGGCUGCAACCCGCCUGUAUGAAGUUGGAAUCGCUAGUAAUCGCGGAUCAGCAUGCCGCGGUGAAUACGUUCCCGGGCCUUGUACACACCGCCCGUCACACCAUGAGAGUCGGGAACACCCGAAGUCCGUAGUCUAACUUUCACGAGAGGACGCGGCCGAAGGUGGGUUCGAUAAUUGGGGUGAAGUCGUAACAAGGUAAC
rnacentral:rRNA from 1 species